rnacentral:ribozyme from 1 species
AAGAAGAAGGAUACUUACAGUCGAAUAGCAAGUAGCAAGUGGCAUGAAUCUUUGGUCCCCUUUUUUAAUUUUAAUUUUUUCUUUUUCUUUUUAGCAAUUUUUCAAUGGCAUCAGGAGUUGGAGGAGAGAAGGAAGAGGAGAAAGGAAUGGAACAACUAAAAUCACUUUUUGUGUCUUGUGUGUUGUGAUUCUAGUGUAGUAGGA